GACUGUGAGCAGAUAGCACGGUAGGCACAGAGGCCCCGGGAGUGGCGGGGACUGUGGCAAACUGGAGAAUGCCUGCCUGUCCCAGGAGCGCAGCAAUCCAGCCCACCGGCUGCUAACUUAGCCAAGAACUCCAAACAAAUACAUCGUUUGAUUUUUCCAGACAAGGUGGGCAUUCUAAUGUAUAACAUUGGUAUCCAACUAAAAAUUCAAAAGCUUACAAAUAAUAACUCAAACUGACUACCCUCUGGAACACAAGUGCCUGGAGCAACGCUGACCUGAAGGCAACCAAGAUAAAGAUUCCCAAAGGCCAAGUUGUCACGGGAGGUAGGGCCUGCGCCACAGACGGGACACUAAAAGUGCAGGGAAGUCCAAAAAGCUGAGUCCAAAGGAGCCAUCGAAAUGAGCGCUGUGACGCGGCAGACGCAGCAGCAUCACUCGGAAGAACUCAUGAAGUAGUAGUUGGACAAGGCAAAGCAUCUGACCAGAUGCGGAGGAACAUUGUACCCAUCUAUCUUGAGUUCGCACUGUACAUGUGAGACCCAUCAGCUCUAAGACAGCCUGUGUUUCAGUCUCCAAAACAGCCAAAUCGCAAGUACCGUCUUAUGGGGUCCACCCCGCAGCCUGAAUUCAAAUUCUGACUUUUCCUACAGAAAGUGACAUUUUUGGAAAGAUGGCCUUUGGCACUUUGGCAACUGCUAAAAUAUAUAUCAAGUAUAUAUAUAUACAUGAAAUCACAUACCAAAAAAUAUCAAUGGAGCACUCCGAGAGGAGGGGCAACCCCUUAAGAGCAAAGAAAUACAGCAGAAUCUCAGGGAGAAAAGGAUGAGCUCCGGGGACUGUGCGGGCAGAUUGCCACUAGAGGAGAUUUGAGGUGACGCUGGCAACUGGGGUGAGCACCCAGGACCAAGGGAACAGUCUCUGGGGUGAGUUGACCAUGCACUCUUGUCUCCGGAUGUUUGACUUCCUGAAUCUUCUCUGAACAAUGCCAUCUCUGUCCUGGCACCCUGGCAAGCAGUCCCAUGAGAGCCAGGUUCUUGUCACAUGUCCUCUUCCUGGAGUGAGUCACUGGAGAAUUGAGCUGUAGUCAUAACCUUCACCGGAGAAGGGCAGUGAAAGUGGCAGGGAGUGAACACAAACGAGGUACAACUUGGUGCUUAAUGUUCCCUUCCAUCAACAUUUUGCCCCGGGCCUUAACCUUGCAACUCAAAAGUACCGUGGAAUAAUGAAUGGGAUAAACUGAAUGACCUGCUUGUAGUCCACAAACAAAGAACCUUUCAGCAGCCCGUGGUCUUAUCUGUUCCAAUCAAGACUAGCCUGUUACAAACCAGAGGGAGAAUGGGAGAUCUGAGAGAAAUGUCUUAGUCUUAACAGAAAAUUAGACAAGCCAUUUUGUUAUCUUCUCAGGAAAAGUGAUAACAGAAAAAAGAGAAAAUCUAAAUAACUGUAGGAAACCCACCUAGAAUUUGAAUGUUGAGAACUGACAGCAUGUCUUUCUCUUUUGGUUGUUAAGCACAGUUUUAGGAUGACAAACAUAAAAUAAAAAUCAAUAGCCAUCUUAUCGAUGUGCAGCCUUCAAGAUCUAUUUCUCAAGCCUAGGUGUGCGCUUGGUGGUGGGUGGUGUCUUCACCCUGGAUCACUGCUGUGAUAGGGCAGAGAAACAGUAGAGUGAAAAUGGGGAUCAGGUAGGUCCCACCCUGCGCUCUGCUGUGUGGCCUUGGUGUGUGCCCAUGCAGGACCUCACUCUCUGGGGUUCUUUAUCUGAAAAAUGAAGUUUGUUCAGAUAAUUUAAUAUUUUCUUUUACACACCCCCUGGCUUCAAUGUUUAUGGCUGUUCUGAUAAAAAAGAGAUGACAGUAAUUCUUACCAGUACCACUCCGUCACCCUUCACAGUGUCCUAAAUACGGGCCCAGUAUGGGCUCCCCUUCAUAGUGUGUUCAAAUGAAGCUCCCUUGUUUGCUCUGAGUAGUACAAACGGUCACCCCAAUUUUCUGAAUUUCAGCAGGCCCAGUGGGUCAUUCCAUGAGCUGCUCAAAUUCACAUCUUAUUCUCAACUGAUUCUUUUCUGCGGAGCCCCAGCUUCACUCUGCCAGUCAGUUCUUCUGACCUUCGACCCAGGAACGAGUGCGAGCACGCAUGGGCCCUGCUCUGCGGAAGCGCACCUUCCAGUCAGCAUGCAGACCUAUCUGCAGACCAAGCCUGAGCGAAACAUAAAGGCUUCCCUGUGACAACCCAUGGGAGGGCAGGGGCAUUCUGGCUUGGGUAAACUUCCUGGAGGAGAACACAUUUGUACUGAACUUGUGAGACAGGUAGAGCUGAGUUAGGAGGCUGACACCAAGGAAGAAAAUAUGCUGAGGGCAGGACAAAGGCACAGGGGCCGAGCAGUGUGGCGCACAUGAGGAGUGACAAGGGGCCCUUGCUGGCUGGAGCUUCUAGUGUCUGAAGGAGUGGAGCUCAGAAACUCAGGCAAAGGCCUGCUCAUAGUCUUCAGAAUUCUGAGGAACUUAGGCUUGCGGGGGAACAGGCAUCCUGCUCAGGGACAUGUCACAGUGAUGCCUGGAGCUCAUGCAGGGUGUCCCGUCAGCAGAGGGCUCGACAGAAUAGAGUGGAGGAGGAAAGAGCCACAGGGGUUAUGACAGUGACCAGAUGAGGGGUCACGGGGGCCUGAGGUCCAGUGUGAGAGCAGGGCUGGAAAGGAGGAACGCUUUGGAAGGCCCUGGAGCGGCAUAGAGUGGGAUUCCACAACAGAUGGGAUACGGGGAUACGGAAGGUCACAAGAGAGCAAGAGAGCUCUGCACUCUUGCUACAAACAACUCUGCAACCCAGAGUGCAACCCAGUCGCCUUGACAUGCCAGGCUCCCAAGAUAACUUAUCCUGGGGUUGUGGUCUGAAGUUCCCUGAUGGAGAAGACACCAGGGAAAUUGGCCAACUAUGGAGAACUGUGCAUUAUUCCCUACUAUCUGCUUUCCUUCAUUAAAAAUAGAACCCCUACUUACCUGGACACAUACCUUGUAGCCUUAUUCGGCAUAAAGAUUUUUUUUUAAACCUUUAUUGAUUCUAGGCAAGGCCGAGUGAUAACGUCUGACCAAUGAUUGCAAUCAGAAGUGUCAGACUUCUGUAAAAUAGUGUUUUCCUGAUGGCCAGAAGGCAAAACAAUGACUGGAGUUUGAGUGGCCGUCUUGAACCACAAGGAAGAAAUUGCACACUGGGAGCAAUGCGGCCAGGUGAUCCAUCCGUAGAGCCGCCUGUAAUAAUUGUGGAAUUGCUACACCUGUCCCAGGCUGCCAACAUCUGGAUUUCAUUGACACGGAAGAGAAAUAAAUGUAUACUUAAUGCUA